CCCAGCUCCUUCAGGCCUCAUGCAGCAAAUCCUGACACAGACUGAGCUUCUGCAAGGCCCUUCUCUGUGCACACCUGCUUUCCCUGCGUGGCCACACAGGGCACAGACUGCACGCUGGGCUGAGGGAGGGCUGCCCCCGGCCCCUGCUCCUGGAGGCACAGAGCAGAUGACCCUGUGAAAGCCUGCCUGAAUCUCGCUGGCAUCAGAGACAAGCACCCACUCAGGAGGGAGGCCUGGAGGCAAAUCCCUCACCGUCAGCUCGGUGGGUGGGAGGCCCAAGCUCGGGCUCCGGUGGGGUGCAGAGGCAGGUGCCCCGGGAACGCUGUCAGCCUGGGGAAGGUGCUUUUGGCACGGAGCCGGGUUGCGGUCUGCAGAUUGGCUGUGGGGCCAGCGCCUGCCUACAGGGCGUGUGGGCGUCAGGAGACAGCGUGUGCAGAGUGCUGUCUGGGUGUGGGCUCUGCAGAGGCCAGCUCCGAGGAAGGACCUGCACGCAGGCGGCCACCCGGGAGGGCGCAAGGGGCAGCAGGGCCGUGAGGCCGGGGAGAGGUGGCCUCUGAGUGUGCUGGGAGCAGCUUACCCCAGGACGGCUGAGCUCAGGGCUGGCGGCGACAGCUCUCCAGCUGUCCCUCCCUCGCUGGCCGAGGCCUGCUCUGCUGUGCUAGCGCUGGCACUUGAGGACCGUGCCACAUGAAGUGCACUGUGAGAAAAACUCCUGCCUGUAGCUGCUUAGGAUCAGCUUUUCACUCUGAGACAUGGACUUCUCUCACACACCUUGGGAGGCGGCUUCAGGCCAAAUGAGGAGUUCUCCCGCUAGAACCUUGACAAUCAGGGGAUGCCUCACAUGAAUCCGUUCUCUGUGGCAGUGGAUUCUGGGGCCACAGCUGGUUCUCAGGGUUUUAAAUCCAGGCCCCACUGGCAGUUAGGGCGGCCAGCAUUCCUUCCAUCCCCUGCUCAAACUCCCAGGAGGACCAGUGGCAGAGCCAGCCCUCGAGGGACCUGCGGCUGGAUGCGAGGCGAGAUGACCCCAGGGGGCGCGUCAGAGACCCGCACAAACAGAACAUCCCUCCCCAGCUUGGGCGUGCCAGGAGAGGGGCCAGGAGCCCAGGGCCACGAGCCUCCUUCGCUGACCCAGCUGGCACUCUGUGUGGUCACCUGCCCCUCCCCCGCGUCCGGGUGCGGACUACAGCCUGGCUUUGUCCUCUUUGUCCUUCAGUUGCUUGUCUGCCACAAAGAGAUUAUCACGUCUGCCCUGCCCGUGACUGCUGGGCCACCUGACCAGGACAUCUUAGCAUUUCUCAGCUCUUUCGUCCGUCCUCUGCUGUUGGGUGUCAGAGCGCCCUGGACCGGUUGUGUGGUCACUGGUUGCUCCUGCAGCCCGUCCUUCAUCAGUGCCUUCCCUGCCGUGUCAGGCUGCCACCACCGCUGAUCUCGAUGCACACAGAUCCUGUAGGCUUUUCUGCCCUCAUCUUAGUUGACACCUUUGCAACGUGCGGUGUGCCUGUCUCCUGUUGGAAAUAUGUGUCUUUCUUGGCCUCCACGACCUGCAGUUGCGUUUCCUUCUGUCUGUCUGCCCAGUGGUUCUUGGGUGGCUCCCACUCCUCUACCCCACAGCGGAGUCUGGCAGGGUGGCUCCUUGGCCUUCUUCUCCUCCCCUCCUUCUCCACGGGUGAUCUUCCUAUCCCACAGCUUCAAAGUUGCCCUUGUCAGGUGGCUAGAGCCAUGCGAUGAGCACAGGAAACCCGCAUUAGAGCGCGGUGAGCGUGCGUUUCCCGUCUGUGCAUCUGCGGCUGGCUGGAGCAGCUCGGCUCCACGUGCCUCGUUCUGGGGCCCAGUCACACAGGCGUGAUCGUCUCACGGUGAAUGGCAAAGUUCGAGUCAGCGAGACCAACUGCACACGAGCACUUCAAGCUCCCACUUCCACUGUGUGGACUUGGGGUCGACCUCGAGGUCGGGGGCCAGGGAGCGUGCUUGACCCACAGUGAGCAGUGGCACAGAGGUAGACGAAUGAUUCUAUCGUGGAGAGUGAGGAACCGGGGCCAAUAAUUCAAUCUACCCAGCACUUCUGUGCCGACGACUCCCUAAUGUGUCUCCAGGCCACUCUCUGUCCUGACUCAUAGUCCAUGCCCCCUUGACGUCUCCACUUGACUGCAGAAAGCUACAGACGACGAUUACUCAGAGCAUCUGUGCCCUCUCUCUAAGGCUGUUUCCCCACCUGUGAAAUAAGCAGACGAUAUGCUGGUUCUGAGAGUAGGUCUGGGGGUUGAGGUCUCGCAUCGCCUUUGACUUUCCUUAGGAUUUGUUCCCCCGCUGGAUUUAGGUGACGGUGAAGAACGUGGAUGUGUAGCCAAUGACCAAUUCUGGAGGAUGCUAGAACCUUCUGUUGACCCCUUCCAGUCCCAUGCUCCUGGCUCUCAUGGAGCUCUCUCGGACCCUCUGGAGGUCGGCUGGGCUGUGCAGGAGCCUAUGUCAUGGGGAUGGGUCCUGGUCCCAGGUUGUGGGCUGUGUGGAGACUCGAAUGCCAGGCUGCCCCUUGGACUCUCAAUCUGCAGGCCUGUAGGGAAGACAGGACCCAUGUACAGGGCUAGUGGAAAGCUCUGAUGAAUUGAAGGCUCGCACAGAAAAGUGUGGUGCUCACUGCGAGGGUUUGCAAAGGACCACAGCGGUUGAUGCAUUCAUUUCUUUUUUACUCUAAAGUUGAAAUAAAUUAUCUGUUACACAAUUGGACAACAGGACGCAAUGCAGAAAUGGAAUUGGGUACUACUUGGUGCGUAAGGCAAGCUAGCGAGCCGGACCCUGACGUUGCUUCUACUAUAAUCACCAUUAUUGGAAAAGUCCUAUUGGAACACACUUAGACAAAUCUUCAAGUUGAGGGCAGGGAGAAAUGACAAGGACUCCCCGUGCUGUUUAGGUUUUGGAUGGAGAAGCAUUUUUCCUGAACUCAAUCUCAACAAAAUAACAAAUGCAACCAAGAUGAAUCUGCUCGCCUGGAGGGUCUUGUAGGAUCGACUUGAGCACAUUCAGGAGCCCCCAAAACAAGGCUUGGAAGAGGGAACACCAUUGAGGUGUUUCUCUGGAGUCCAGACCUUCCCCUGGGACCAGGAAUGU
ensembl:lncRNA